rnacentral:ncRNA from 1 species
GGGCGUACGCAGGGGAGUCUCAACCGAGAGACUGAGAGGCGAAUAGCAGCAAGGCUGCAGUGUCGCGACCCUUUGAACCUGACCCAGUUGAUACUGGCGUAGGAAGCUAAGGGCGCACAUCG